CACAAACUACCAUAAAACUAAAUAUAGAAGAUAGGAUUGACCCAACACAUCCAAAAGCAAGUCUUUAACACAUUGUAACCGUCAACCGAUCAUGAAAACCAGAAAGGAAGUUGUCAUGGGACGGAUGCAGAUGAAGUUUUAAUCAAAGGAAGAUGAUAUAUGUAUAACACAAUAGAGGGGAAAACCAAAUUGAGUUUUGGUGGGUGGAUUAGGUGCAUACCAAGACAAAAACGCCAAGGAGGCCUUUCAUGGGGGGUAUGGCCUGUCGACACAAACAUGUGAAACCAAUACUGGUUUCCUUAUUCUCUAGCUUGUUCCUUUUUUAUUCAACCAAAACAAAUUAGACUCUUUUUUUUUGUGAAAAGGAAAACAAAUUAGAUUUUCCCUCUAUUAUUCUAUACAUAUCAUCUUCCUCGGAUUCUCUCAGAUCUUAUAGCUCCCAUUGAUAUUGUUUUGUUUAAUUAUCCAACUUAUAAAUAUAACUCGAAAUCAUUUGUUCUUCUGCAC
rnacentral:lncRNA from 1 species